UCUAACAUGUUGUCUAACAUUCUUAACUUUAUAGAAGCAAGCCUAAAAACACAGAACCGAAGGGGAAGUGCAAACAAAUCGGUGAAUCAUAAAGUGGUUCGUUUUUCUGCUCAACAAGCGAUGUUUUGUGGUAGCGUUCCACGCGGACUUUCUAUGCGCAACUGAAACUAUCUUAUCAUGCUGCCUAUCUUGUUUUUCAUUAUUCUUGAACAAACCACCUUUUUUCAAUAGCACACCUAAACAUAGACAGAUAAACUGAGUAAUGGUGCUCACUGAAAAUUAAUAAAAAAUACAGAUGGGACUGACUUGCGGUUACCGGCAGUAAACAUCCUGUUAUACAAUCCCCACUAUUCUGCGAGUCACGUGACUCUCCAUUUGAUUUGCACGGAGAGUCACUUCACCGUUGACAGUGAGUCACGUGACUCGUAGUAUGAGGAGGAAUGUCACGCGAGUACAACGCAACCAAAAAUGUAAGAACUGAAAAGAACCAUGACUUUGUUCCACGCAAUCUGUAUCCACUCCCAUCAUAACAAAAAAUAAAUAAAUAAGCGAAAAACGACAAAACAUUUUCAAAUGAAAAAAAUCGACGUCCGCAAAUUUUAACAUAGGUAAACAUAAAAAGGAUUCUUCUUCAACUACCGCGGUCAAAAUAAUAAAAAACGUAAAACGAAAACCAUUUCAUGUGUGAUUGGUACGAACUUUGUUAUUACAUUAGUUUUCUUCUCCUAGUAGGUAUCAUCUCAUCGUCAUCAUUAGCUUUUACGAUUCUACGUGUUUGUUUUAGGUAUCUUUUGUUCUUCUUCUUUUUUUUUCUAACAAUCGUUGCUGCUUUUCACUGUUCUCUCUAUGCAGUAAUUUCCACCGAGAAAGGGAAAAACAAAGCCAAACUUCACAACGUGUUUUUCAUUUUCUGCCUUUUCCUCGGGAAACUACUUAAAAACCACUAACAAGAAACGCGAAACCCGCACAAAAAAAAAAUUCAUUGUGGAAAACUAAAUAAACAACAAUAAUAAUUAUUAAUUUAAAAAUAAUAAUAAAGAUAAUAGAACGAACCGGAAGAAGAGGGGACAGGGCGGUUGAGAAGACGGGUUAGGGAAAAUAGAUUAAGGAAGGUUGGUAGGUAGUAGCAGUACACAAGUGCUGUUCGGUAAAACAUAGCUACUGAAUCACAAUUUUAACUCUAUAUCGAAAUAGGAAAACACACACACACACACAUUGCAUGGCAUAGUGGUGGCACGGUGCAUGUGUGGAUGUGUCUUGUUGAAUUAUUAUUGCUGUUGUUGUUGUUGUUGAUGUCAUAGGAAAACUUGCCAAACUACAUCAUCGAACUGGUUUGCAUUCGUGUGAUCCCGUUUCCCGGAGAGGGGGAAAAUUUGAUUUUCUUCCUCCGAGAAUAGAUCGUCCUGGUGCUGAAUUUGCUCGUUGGUUCUAAAAUUUAAAACAUGUUCCUUCAACAACGAUUUGCCUUUUCGCGUUUCACUAUCUCACUUUCCCUUACUAAAUGUAUUUACUAAACACAACAUAAAUUAUAGUCAAUCCUACUCGUUUAAAGGUAGUUCAAUUAGGUUUGCUCGAAAAAGGAAGGCUGCUUCACGCAUCAAACGGUUGUUUGUUGUUUUUUUUGUUCUAUGUAAUUGUUUGUCUGUUGUUUGUUGGAUUGGUUUGAGGCCUAGCAUGUGCUGCUGUGCUGUCAGUGGUUUUUUCAUCUUCUUUCUUCUUUUGGAUUAUGGGAUUUGCUUUGCCUUAGAUAGUUUCGAUCUUUGUAGUUUUUUUUUUACUCUUAUAGAAUUAGAAUUCUGUUGGAUUCUUAUAUUUUUGUUUUGCAUUUUGCUUCUCUUUCUCUCUUUUGUUAGGGGAUAAAUCACAUUUUGGUCAGAGAUUGGUUUGAAGCUGCAAGGCUCCGCAGCACGCAGCCCCGCCCAGCAGGAAAAUGGUACCGGCCCCGGCGCCAACACUAGCCGUCCAACGUAUCCACUAUGCCGUUGUCUGGGUGU